UUGACCUCAAAUCAUGGGGGAAUACCCGCUGAACUUAAGCAUAUCAAUAAGCGGAGGAAAAGAAACUAACAAGGAUUCCCCUAGUAACUGCGAGUGAAGCGGGAUGAGCUCAAAUUUAAAAUCUGGCGGUCUCUGGCCGUCCGAGUUGUAUUCUGGAGAA
rnacentral:rRNA from 1 species